GGCUCAGGAUGAACGCUAGCGGCAGGCUUAACACAUGCAAGUCGAGGGGCAGCGCGAGGUAGCAAUACUUUGGCGGCGACCGGCGAAAGGGUGCGUAACGCGUGAGCAACUUGCCCGUAUCUGGGGACAUAAGCGGUGGAAACGCCGUCUAAUUUCCCAUAACAACAGAGGCCGCAUGACCUUUGUUUGAAAGAUCCGUCGGAUACGGAUGGGCUCGCGAGACAUUAGCUAGUCGGCGUGGUAACGGCACACCGAGGCGACGAUGUCUAGGGGUUCUGAGAGGAAGGUCCCCACACUGGAACUGAGACACGGUCCAGACUCCUACGGGAGGCAGCAGUGAGGAAUAUUGGUCAAUGGGCGCAAGCCUGAACCAGCCAUGCCGCGUGAAGGAAUAAGGCCCUAUGGGUCGUAAACUUCUUUUGUGGUGGAGCAAUAAGGUGUACGUGUACACCGAUGAGAGUACAUCACGAAUAAGCAUCGGCUAACUCCGUGCC
rnacentral:rRNA from 1 species